UUAAACAAGUCAUAGAAUAAAGGUCUCUCACACACAUACACACCUUCUAUAAAGACCAUUUUUUACUCAUCGCAGCGGGAAGUAUAAAAAUGUUUGCGCUUCCACCACAAAAGUAUGCAACAGAUUUUUUCUUAGCCGCCGCAUGGUGCCAACGCAAAAACAGGCAAUACUGCUGUGGUUAAGGGGUGGCGUGCAGGAUGGUAACAGGCAUGCGGCAACGGUCGCCAAUUUUUGCACGCGGCAUCGGAGCCAAAAAAAUCACGCUGUGAUUUUUACCGGCAUCACAAAAUAUUAACAGCACAGCACACAACAAAACAUAAGAAAAACGAUGUGCAUACAUGCAUACAUGCAUAUGCAGAGCUGAAGAGUGGGAGAUGAGAUACAAAGUAGAGUACAAAUUUACGAAACUGCUUUUCGAUGCUGCCGAUAGCUGGGGUCUCCUGUCGUUUUGGAACCUUAUUCUCCAAUUACUCGGCGGUUUGAAAGCACAUUCCAGUAUGCUCGAAUGGUUUAUAGGAGUUUAUCCAACUGGAUUCGCUAUAAGCUCAAAACUUUUGCUGAAUGCAAUUCUUCUUAAAGCAUAUUCAAACUUUAAACUUCCUAUUAGAUGAUUCUCUUUCUUUAAUCUUCAUGCAGAUUUUCAAAAAGUAUUUUUCGAAAUAGUUAUCUUGAAAGUAGACUUUGACACAUCCCGUAAAGAGCUCUGGUUGCUCAACCAUUUGUAGCAUUUACCCAGCAUUUUUACGGGCCACAGCAAGAAAAAUUCUCAGCCAAUCCCUCAUCCACCUGUCAGCUCAAUCCAAUCCUUGACCUUGCCCAAAAAAUGGAGCACAAGGAAACCAUGCAAACUUUUUGGGAAUCCAUCAGGAAAAAUUUCCGCCCAGCGUUUUACCCCGUCAACCCUUUGCUUUCCGCCAAGCGAUGCACAAUAUGAAAAACAACACGUUCAGAGGCAAUAAAUCCUGGCCGACGAAUGCUUCGCACGAAUAGGGACGAAGAGACCAGAGACAGAACCAGAGCCAGAAUCAGGACAAAGCACAACCAUUGCAAGACAGAAAGGAGACAUGUUACAUAGUUCCCUUGGAAUUCUUUUUCGGCUAUUUUUGCGGGUGACAAUGAAUUUUGGAGUGGCCGUGUACGGACAACAAUGACCUUUGGCCCUCCCGCUGUGGAAAUAGUGGACAAAUAUUAAAACUGAAAUUCAGAAGUGAAAAUAA